GAUUCUCAGAGUGGAUCUGCAGCUCAUCGUCGCUCUGCCACGACUCCUACGAAACCCUUCAACGCGCUGGGCAAAAUGAGAACAGGACUGGUGCUGGUCCUCCUGCUGGUACUGAGCGCCGUGGUCCUGACAGCCGCCGAGCCCGUCGCCGACCCCAACCCUGCGCCCCAGUUUGGUAGACCCGGUCCCGUUGGCCCCUUCCGCCCACAGUGUCCCCGACGUCAUUGUUGGAGGCGUGGACGCUGUAGGAGGUGUCGUUAACUGUAAUCCAUCGUACACUGCGAUGGUUCUCGUUGCCAUGUGACUGUCUGCUGCGACCGACGAACUGGGGCAAAAUUGUAUAGGUUAUGGGGACCUCGUUAACAAAGGGUUGCAAUGCACGCAACCGGUUGAUCAACCGCUUGCGUGCAGCUGUUCGGCAUUUGUAGCGAGAACGUUCCUAGUCAACCAAAACGUUAAUAUGAUUGUGUUGGUUAUAUGAAUUUAUCGUCACAAUAUCUUAUAAGAUUGAUCUGUUUACUUUACUAUAGUAAUUUCAGCUGUAGACGGACACAAGAAUCUGGAGUGUGGGAAAUUUUCUGCAACCAAAUAUAUUAUUGUACUA
rnacentral:lncRNA from 1 species